rnacentral:lncRNA from 1 species
AGCCGCUGGUCUCUGGAAAGGCUGGUCUGAGGGGACUCAGACUGGGAAACUGAGGUUCAUGAACACCUGUCACUUCCUUCUGCCUACUCUGGGUUACAGUCUUGGAAUAAAAACCCACACUUGGAGCAAGAGCCGCAAGCCCUAGUCACCUCCUGUGUCUGCCCCAGCCCAGGCCUGGCAAGGUGGCAGGAAAGGCACCAGACCUGGGGGAAGAGCAUGUUCAAAGGCUCUGAGAACAAGGCUGUGACCCAAGACUGACCCAGAGUGACAAUGACAUGAAGAUCAAGGUGCUGGAGGGCAGAGACUCUGCAGCUAACAGUAUGCAAAGCUCUUACAGAGACUCUGAGUUCAGAGUCCCAGCACUCGUGCUGGGCUGCUCACAACCGCCUGAGACUGGAGCUCUGGCCUUCACAUACCUGCCUCACAGACUGUAAAAAUAAAGUCAACUGAGGGCUAGAGAGAUGGCUCAGUGGUUAAGAGCACUGGCUACUCUUCCAGUGGUCCUGAGUUCAGUUCCCAGCAACCACGUGGUGGAUCACAACCACUUGUAAUGGGAUCUAAUGCCCUCUUCUUGUGUGUCUGAAGAGAGUGACACUUACAUAAAAUAAAUGAAUCUUUUUUUAAAGUC